UGCCCUAGCGGCGAACGGGUGAGUAACACGUGGGCAACCUGCCCCUAGCACUGGGAUAACUCCGGGAAACCGGGGCUAAUACCGGAUAUGACCUCGGAGGGCAUCCUCCCUGGUGCAAAGGAUUCUGGCUAGGGAUGGGCCCGCGGCCUAUCAGCUUGUUGGUGGGGUAAUGGCCUACCAAGGCGACGACGGGUAGCCGGCCUGAGAGGGCGACCGGCCACACUGGGACUGAGACACGGCCCAG
rnacentral:rRNA from 1 species